rnacentral:Y_RNA from 1 species
GACUUGUACGAUGGUAGUGGGGUAUCAAAACUUAUUAACAUUAGUGUCACUAAAAUUGGUACACAACCCCCUACUGCUAAAUUUGACUGGUUUAAA